rnacentral:rRNA from 1 species
CCUACGGGAGGCAGCAGUGAGGAAUAUUGGUCAAUGGACGAGAGUCUGAACCAGCCAAGUAGCGUGAAGGAUGACUGCCCUAUGGGUUGUAAACUUCUUUUAUAAAGGAAUAAAACGAGGCACGUGUGCCUUUUUGCAUGUACUUUAUGAAUAAGGAUCGGCUAACUCCGUGCCAGCAGCCGCGGUAAUACGGAGGAACCGAGCGUUAUCCGGAUUUAUUGGGUUUAAAGGGAGCGUAGAUGGGUUGUUAAGUCAGUUGUGAAAGUUUGUGGCUUAACCGUAAAAUUGCAAUUGAUACUGGCAUUCUUGAGUACAGUUGAGGUAGGCGGAAUUCGUGGUGUAGAGGUGAAAUGCUUAGAUAUCACGAAGAAAACCGAUUGCGAAGGCAGCUUACUAAAAUGUGACUGACAUUGAUGCUCGAAAGUGUGGGUAUCAAACAGGAUUAGAUACCCGUGUAGUC